rnacentral:rRNA from 1 species
GACGAACGCUGGCGGCGUGCUUAACACAUGCAAGUCGAACGGAAAGGCCCUGCUUUUGUGGGGUGCUCGAGUGGCGAACGGGUGAGUAACACGUGAGUAACCUGCCCUUGACUUUGGGAUAACUUCAGGAAACUGGGGCUAAUACCGGAUAGGAGCUCCUGCUGCAUGUGGGGGUUGGAAAGUUUCGGCGGUUGGGGAUGGACUCGCGGCUUAUCAGCUUGUUGGUGGGGUAGUGGCUUACCAAGGCUUUGACGGGUAGCCGGCCUGAGAGGGUGACCGGCCACAUGGGGACUGAGAUACGGCCCAGACUCCUACGGGAGGCAGCAGUGGGGAAUAUUGCACAAUGGGCGGAAGCCUGAUGCAGCAACGCCGCGUGCGGGAUGACGGCCUUCGGGUUGUAAACCGCUUUCGCCUGUGACGAAGCGUGAGUGACGGUAAUGGGUAAAGAAGCACCGGCUAACUACGUG